rnacentral:rRNA from 1 species
UACGUAGGGUGCAAGCGUUGUCCGGAAUUAUUGGGCGUAAAGAGCUCGUAGGCGGUGUGUCGCGUCGGAUGUGAAAUCCCGGGGCUUAACUCCGGGUCUGCAUUCGGGUACGGGGCAUGCUGGAGUUCGGUAGGGGGAGACUGGAAUUCCUGGUGUAGCGGUGAAAUGCGCAGAUAUCAGGAGGAACACCGGUGGCGAAGGCGGGGUCUCUGGGGCAUGUCCUGACGCUGAGGAGCGAAAGUGUGGGGGAGCGAACAGG